rnacentral:rRNA from 1 species
UACGGAGGGGGCUAGCGUUGUUCGGAAUUACUGGGCGUAAAGCGCACGUAGGCGGCUUUGCAAGUUAGAGGUGAAAGCCCGGGGCUCAACUCCGGAAUUGCCUUUAAAACUGUAUCGCUAGAAUUGUGGAGAGGUAAGUGGAAUUCCGAGUGUAGAGGUGAAAUUCGUAGAUAUUCGGAAGAACACCAGUGGCGAAGGCGACUUACUGGACACAUAUUGACGCUGAGGUGCGAAAGCGUGGGGAGCAAACAGG